rnacentral:rRNA from 1 species
GACGAACGCUGGCGGCGUGCUUAACACAUGCGAGUCGAACGGAAAGGCCCUGCUUUUGUGGGGUGCUCGAGUGGCGAACGGGUGAGUAACACGUGAGUAACCUGCCCUUGACUUUGGGAUAACUUCAGGAAACUGGGGCUAAUACCGGAUAGGAGCUCCUGCUGCAUGGUGGGGGUUGGAAAGUUUCGGCGGUUGGGGAUGGACUCGCGGCUUAUCAGCUUGUUGGUGGGGUAGUGGCUUACCAAGGCUUUGACGGGUAGCCGGCCUGAGAGGGUGACCGGCCACAUUGGGACUGAGAUACGGCCCAGACUCCUACGGGAGGCAGCAGUGGGGAAUAUUGCACAAUGGGCGGAAGCCUGAUGCAGCAACGCCGCGUGCGGGAUGACGGCCUUCGGGUUGUAAACCGCUUUCGCCUGUGACGAAGCGUGAGUGACGGUGAUGGGUAAAGAAGCACCGGCUAACUACGUG